rnacentral:rRNA from 1 species
UACGGCUCAGUAACACGUAGUCAACCUGCCCUUAGGUAAGAGAUAACCUCGGGAAACUGAGGAUAAUAUCUUAUAGUAAAAAGGUUCUGGAAAGCCCUUUUUUAGAAAGCCUCGGCGCCUAAGGAUGGGACUGCGGCUGAUUAGGCAGUUGGUGGUGUAACGGACCACCAAACCAAAGAUCCAUACGGGCCAUGAGAGUGGUAGCCCGGAGAGGGACACUGAGAUACUGGUCCCAGCCCUACGGGGUGCAGCAGGCGCGAAACCUUUUCAAUGCACGAAAGUGUGAGAAGGGAAUUCCAAGUGCUCAGGUUUUACCUGGGCUUUUGUUAAGUGUAAAUAGCUUAGCGAAUAAGGGGUGGGUAAGACUGGUGCCAGCAGCCGCGGUAAU